rnacentral:rRNA from 1 species
AUUGAACGCUGGCGGCAGGCCUAACACAUGCAAGUCGAACGAGUGGCGGACGGGUGAGUAAUGUCUGGGAAACUGCCCGAUGGAGGGGGAUAACUACUGGAAACGGUAGCUAAUACCGCAUACCAUCAGAUGUGCCCAGAUGGGAUUAGCUUGUUGGUGGGGUAACGGCUCACCAAGGCGACGAUCCCUAGCUGGUCUGAGAGGAUGACCAGCCACACUGGAACUGAGACACGGUCCAGACUCCGACGGGAGGCAGCAGUGGGGAAUAUUGCACAAUGGGCGCAAGCCUGAUGCAGCCAUGCCGCGUGAGUGAUGAAGGUCUUCGGAUUGUAAAGUCCUGUUAGUGGGGAAGCGUUACCUAAUGAGUAAGCAACGGCUAACUCCGUGCCAGCAGCCGCGGUAAUAC